UGUGAGCUCGAUGAGUAGGGCGGGACACGUGGUAUCCUGUCUGAAUAUGGGGGGACCAUCCUCCAAGGCUAAAUACUCCUGACUGACCGAUAGUGAACCAGUACCGUGAGGGAAAGGCGAAAAGAACCCCGGCGAGGGGAGUGAAAAAGAACCUGAAACCGUGUACGUACAAGCAGUGGGAGCACGCUUAGGCGUGUGACUGCGUACCUUUUGUAUAAUGGGUCAGCGACUUAUAUUCUGUAGCAAGGUUAACCGAAUAGGGGAGCCGAAGGGAAACCGAGUCUUAACUGGGCGUUAAGUUGCAGGGUAUAGACCCGAAACCCGGUGAUCUAGCCAUGGGCAGGUUGAAGGUUGGGUAACACUAACUGGAGGACCGAACCGACUAAUGUUGAAAAAUUAGCGGAUGACUUGUGGCUGGGGGUGAAAGGCCAAUCAAACCGGGAGAUAGCUGGUUCUCCCCGAAAGCUAUUUAGGUAGCGCCUCGUGAAUUCAUCUCCGGGGGUAGAGCACUGUUUCGGCAAGGGGGUCAUCCCGACUUACCAACCCGAUGCAAACUGCGAAUACCGGAGAAUGUUAUCACGGGAGACACACGGCGGGUGCUAACGUCCGUCGUGAAGAGGGAAACAACCCAGACCGCCAGCUAAGGUCCCAAAGUCAUGGUUAAGUGGGAAACGAUGUGGGAAGGCCCAGACAGCCAGGAUGUUGGCUUAGAAGCAGCCAUCAUUUAAAGAAAGCGUAAUAGCUCACUGGUCGAGUCGGCCUGCGCGGAAGAUGUAACGGGGCUAAACCAUGCACCGAAGCUGCGGCAGCGACGCUUAUGCGUUGUUGGGUAGGGGAGCGUUCUGUAAGCCUGCGAAGGUGUGCUGUGAGGCAUGCUGGAGGUAUCAGAAGUGCGAAUGCUGACAUAAGUAACGAUAAAGCGGGUGAAAAGCCCGCUCGCCGGAAGACCAAGGGUUCCUGUCCAACGUUAAUCGGGGCAGGGUGAGUCGACCCCUAAGGCGAGGCCGAAAGGCGUAGUCGAUGGGAAACAGGUUAAUAUUCCUGUACUUGGUGUUACUGCGAAGGGGGGACGGAGAAGGCUAUGUUGGCCGGGCGACGGUUGUCCCGGUUUAAGCGUGUAGGCUGGUUUUCCAGGCAAAUCCGGAAAAUCAAGGCUGAGGCGUGAUGACGAGGCACUACGGUGCUGAAGCAACAAAUGCCCUGCUUCCAGGAAAAGCCUCUAAGCAUCAGGUAACAUCAAAUCGUACCCCAAACCGACACAGGUGGUCAGGUAGAGAAUACCAAGGCGCUUGAGAGAACUCGGGUGAAGGAACUAGGCAAAAUGGUGCCGUAACUUCGGGAGAAGGCACGCUGAUAUGUAGGUGAAGUCCCUCGCGGAUGGAGCUGAAAUCAGUCGAAGAUACCAGCUGGCUGCAACUGUUUAUUAAAAACACAGCACUGUGCAAACACGAAAGUGGACGUAUACGGUGUGACGCCUGCCCGGUGCCGGAAGGUUAAUUGAUGGGGUUAGCGCAAGCGAAGCUCUUGAUCGAAGCCCCGGUAAACGGCGGCCGUAACUAUAACGGUCCUAAGGUAGCGAAAUUCCUUGUCGGGUAAGUUCCGACCUGCACGAAUGGCGUAAUGAUGGCCAGGCUGUCUCCACCCGAGACUCAGUGAAAUUGAACUCGCUGUGAAGAUGCAGUGUACCCGCGGCAAGACGGAAAGACCCCGUGAACCUUUACUAUAGCUUGACACUGAACAUUGAGCCUUGAUGUGUAGGAUAGGUGGGAGGCUUUGAAGUGUGGACGCCAGUCUGCAUGGAGCCGACCUUGAAAUACCACCCUUUAAUGUUUGAUGUUCUAACGUUGACCCGUAAUCCGGGUUGCGGACAGUGUCUGGUGGGUAGUUUGACUGGGGCGGUCUCCUCCUAAAGAGUAACGGAGGAGCACGAAGGUUGGCUAAUCCUGGUCGGACAUCAGGAGGUUAGUGCAAUGGCAUAAGCCAGCUUGACUGCGAGCGUGACGGCGCGAGCAGGUGCGAAAGCAGGUCAUAGUGAUCCGGUGGUUCUGAAUGGAAGGGCCAUCGCUCAACGGAUAAAAGGUACUCCGGGGAUAACAGGCUGAUACCGCCCAAGAGUUCAUAUCGACGGCGGUGUUUGGCACCUCGAUGUCGGCUCAUCACAUCCUGGGGCUGAAGUAGGUCCCAAGGGUAUGGCUGUUCGCCAUUUAAAGUGGUACGCGAGCUGGGUUUAGAACGUCGUGAGACAGUUCGGUCCCUAUCUGCCGUGGGCGCUGGAGAAUUGAGGGGGGCUGCUCCUAGUACGAGAGGACCGGAGUGGACGCAUCACUGGUGUUCGGGUUGUCAUGCCAAUGGCACUGCCCGGUAGCUAAAUGCGGAAGAGAUAAGUGCUGAAAGCAUCUAAGCACGAAACUUGCCCCGAGAUGAGUUCUCCCUGACUCCUUGAGAGUCCUGAAGGAACGUUGAAGACGACGACGUUGAUAGGCCGGGUGUGUAAGCGCAGCGAUGCGUUGAGCUAACCGGUACUAAUGAACCGUGAGGCUUAACCUUACAACGCCGAAG
rnacentral:rRNA from 1 species